AUGCUUAACGUGAGAUGAGGGAGGCAUGGGGGGAAUGGCAGUGGAGUGGGAAUUAGGGGACCCAGAUCCACCACUGCUGACUCUCUACAACACCCAGGGAAAGUAGAGAACCCUGUGCUUGUGCUUUGAAGGCCUGUGACUUCUUUGAGCUGCUCUGAGAUUCAGAGGAAAAAAAUGAAUAUGUUAGUGUUUUGCAGAUUGCAAAGAACCUGUGAAAGGAGAAAACCACAUUAAGAGCAUCACACAAAAUCCAACUCUUUGCUCAAUCCUGAGACUGUUUGUAUUGGAAUGCUGCUGCAUGUAUAUCGGAUAUCAUAUUUGAUCCUUGGUGGAUAGAACAUGACUUGUCCUAAUCCUAAUAUAAUUACUGUUCCUUGGUCUCUUUGCCGCCUUCUUCUUCUUCUUUUUUUAAAUUUUUUGGCCACACCUGCAGCAUGUGGAAGUUCCUGGGCUAGGGAGCAAACCCACGCCACAGCAGUGACUGAGCCACAGCAGUGACAAGGCAGGAUCCUUAAUCUGCUAAGCCACCAGAGAUCUCCACUUUGCCUUCUGGAUGGGAUUGUGCCUUUCAGAUUACUAAUCACCACUUUACUUUGCAAAAAUGCUUUUCAAACAUUCUUAAGUGAUUUCUUUUAAUAGCAUUCAAAGGUACGUCAUUAGGAUUUUAGAGCACCUCACGGUUGAGGGAGGUAGCCACAGGGCAACUAAGGCUAUGCCUACAGACAUUGCAAAUAUGGAGCAUAUGAGGGAGAGGGGGGCUUUAUUGCAGAGCUGCUGAUGUGGCCACUUUCUCUUCUUUCAAACUUCUUGUCAGAUUUAUGGCAAUUUAUUGUAAAAGAGCACUCAAGAGACAACUAUCUUAAAGUGAUAUUUUAACUUAGUUAUUGAAAAUUCAGAUAUGCUCUAGGGGGAUGAUUGGUUGGGGAGCCUAUUUAUAGCAAGUCAGCAAAAAUAUCUUAUAAGUGAUAUGGUACAGCUAGCUUCAUGCAAUCCACAGAAACACAAGGUCGGGCAUGAAUCACAUAUAUUGCAGCCUCCUCCAUGGGGAUUCAAUUACCUAUAGGUCCUUAUUAUAAUGUGACUUUACAGAACUAUGAUCUUAAGAUAGAGUAGAAUACUUUAUCACAAAGGACUACACAGUCAUCAUUCGGAAGAGGUACUGGAAUCAUUCACAGAGGCAGGACCAUGAGACAGUAUGAGAGGCCAGAAUUUGAGAAUGAGGAAUGUCCUAAGCAGACAAGAAAGGAAGUCAGAGCCAGAUUCUAGAGGUCAGAGGGGAACAAUAGGUCAGGAACCGGGGAGUUUGCAGAUGAGAACAGAGGACAUGGACACUGAGAAGCCCCAGGAGACAAGUCAGGCAGGAGGCUAACCAGGAAACCAGGGGAGUGAGGCAAAGUGAACCAGAGGGAUGGAGCUAGACCUCAUUAAGUAUUGACAGUGCUGGACAAUUUCCCUCAGAAAAUCUGCUGGCACCUUUAGUCUGCUCUGGUUUCUAUAACGAUACACCAUAGACCAGAUGGUUUAAAUGAGAGACAUUUGCUUCUCACAGUUCUGGAGGCUGAGAAGUCCAACAUCAAGGUGCCAGCAGAUUUGCUGUCUGUUGAGGACUCUCUUCCUGGCUUACAGACAGCUGCCUUCUUGCUGUGUCCUGAGAUGGUUGAAAGAGAAAGAAAGAUCAUCUCUUGUGUCUCUACCUAAAGGACAUUAAGUCUAUCAUGAUGGCUGUACGCUUAGGACCUAAUCACCUCUCCUCAAAGGCCCCCCCCCCAAAUAACACCACAGUGGGGCUUCAACACAUGAAUUUUAGGGGCAAUACAUUGGUUCAUAACACUCUUUAUGGAGGUAUUAGAUGCCUGUAACCAAGGUCUGUCAUUCUUUUCAGUUCCUCAUCGCUUGAGCCCCACGUCACUGUCUCCAGUGUGAUGCAUUCUCUGCUAUAGGGUUCUUGUGGGAGUCAGAACCCACCUACCAUUAUGAGAACUAAAGAUACCAGGUCCUGGUUUUCUGAGUUUCCCUUGUAGUAAAGUCAUGAUCACGUGACCUGGGCUUUGCAACUUCAUACGCUGGCAUGGUUUGAACUAGGGGCUGGGGACACCAAGAAGCAGGGAGGCAGAGAAUCCUCUGGUGGUGAGGGCAGCCUGACUGUGUCCCUAGCAUAGGGAGGGCUACAGUGCUGGUGUAUUGCUGGCUGCAACAUGCUAAGAUUCCAUGGCUGCAGUGGUGGCUGCACAAUCUGCGAUGUCCCCUGCUUGGGAGAUACCCUUCACUUGGAGCUGGGCAACUGUUCUGCUGUGGGAUUUGGUGAUGCCUGGCCUGGCUCUCCAGACCUCUCCAUGAGCUGCUUAUUAUCCUUUUCACAAAGUGCUCUUUUUGCUUAAUUCAGCUACAGGUGAUUGCCUUUGCAUGCCACCAACAAUCCUACCUAAGGCAUUGUUAUGCUUGAAAUAGCAAACAGACAAAAAGCAAACAAAGCAAUCAAAAAACCCAGCACCAGGAAUGUUAGUAAAUAAUAAGAUAAUAAUAGCUCUUGCUUAUUAAUUUCCCCCUGCUUCUUUAAGCUAUAAGGCAAUAGCCUAUAUAAGGCAGUUCUGUUUCAGGCCCUCUUUUCCCUCCCACUAUAAUCUCUGUUGAGGACAGACCAUCACUAAGCCCCAAAGGGCUGGAUUCCCAGAAUUCCUGAGUCUUCCCUAAGGCCCUGGGCUGUGUUGGCUUGAGAAUGGAGUCUUGCCUUACACUAGACUCCAGAAUGGAGACUGGCAUUCCUUUUGGUCACUUCUAGAGCCACUCACCAGGGCUUGGCCUUGCUUCUUUUCUCCCUUGACUUAAAAGAGUUCUGCAAAACCUGAACUCUAUCUGGUGUUCUCAUAAUUUCUGUUUUUCACUUCCAAAGCUAAGACUUCCUUCUGUCCUCCCCCUACCUCUCCAGGCCCUGGCUGGCCAGCUCUCCUCUCGGUGCUGACCUGGAUCUGGGACUUGCUUUGCUCAUGGAUUCUCUGUCUCCCCUCAAGGUAUUCCUGCUUCUGACCUUGCCCCUCUCCCCUCAUUAGUGUCCCGGUGAAAGUCCCCUCCCACCCCAGUGUGCUCCCAGCAAUGCUGCAGGAGACCCCACCCCCCAUGGGGAGGGGUUGGGGGCUGGGGAGGGUAGAUUCUGACAAGCACGAAGACAACGCUGAAUCUUAGGCACCGUCUUGUCCUGGCCAGAAUCUCUUUAUGUGCUUCCUGCUGAUCCCUAUGCUGGAGAAAAACGGAACAAGAUCAAAGCCAAGAGCAAAGACUGACAAUUGUGAUUUUCCUCUGAUUACCUAGGAUGAACAUAAAAGAUAAAUUUCAUUUCAGGCAUUAGAAAAAAGGGGUGAAGAAAGCGGAGCUUUAAAGGUGGAGAGAGAGAGAAGAAAUAUCAAAUAAAAAUCUGAUAUAACAGCUUCAAAUACCCCAUCUGCUACCGGCAUCCAAAAAUCCUUGGGAGGUACUGGCUAGUUUUUGUUAUUAUACGAAAUAAAUGGAAAAGAAAAAUUAUGACUAGAGGGAAAUGGAGACAGAACUCUGACUUAAUUAUUUAUGUUUAUUAUCAAAAUGGUCAUCCUCAAUUUAUCCACUAUGAUCAACACACAGCUUGUAAUGCAAUUCUUUUGUUUUUUGCUUUUUUUUUUUUUUGCUUUUUAGGGCUGCAUAUGGAAAUUCCCAGGCUAGGGCUUGAAUUGGAGGUAUAGCUACCGGCCUACACCACAGCCACAGCAACAUGGGAUCCAAGCAGGGUCUGUGACCUACACCACAGCUCACAGCAAUGCUGGAUCCCUGACCCAUUGAUUGCAGCCAGGGAUCAAACCCACAUCCUCAUGGAUACUAGUCAGAUUCGUUUCUGCUGGGCCACAACAGGAACUCGUGCAAUUCUUUUUAUACUUACAUUUGUGCCUAACUCUUAAUCUCAUCAGUGGUCAAAUUCGCCAGGAAAUACACAUCUUUGCUGGAUAAGGAGAGGCUCAUCUAAUAAGUUGGCAACCACACAUGCCUCAUAUCCUGUAUUAUUUUAAUUGUGCUGACUGCAGGAGUCUCUGCAUAUGUUUAGCUUAGAUGAAAUCGGUCUAAUGAGGUAAGACUCAAGUAGUUUUAAUUAGUUUGUGUGAAAAUGUAGGCUUUUCAUGCUGUGUUGUGUGGGCUCAUCUCUGAAAGAAAGAGCAAUGCAUCUUUUUUUUUUUUCUCCCUGUUUCCUGAUUACCCAACUCUCAGUACAACAUUUUCUCUUACCUGCUUAUCAAUUCAGUAAGAAAAAGUUGGAUGGCUUUACCAGCAGGUGUUGUAAAACUCUAAAAUUAGGAUCACCGAAAUUUUAUAGUAGCAAAUUAGGCCCCGUGGUGUCAGAAAGUUCUGAAUGUUCCCCUAGAAUUAUUCCCCAAAUGUCUUUGUUUUCUGGAAUUCACCAAAGCCCUUUUGUUCCUGACACACUGGAUCGGAAGGAGACCCCUGGGCUCCACUUGAUGGAACAUACCAGGUUGUGAAUAAAUUACUUCUCAAAACUUGGCUAAGUUUUGCACUCUAGAAUGCAAAUCGUUUUAAAGUUGCUUGGCCUUUAUGAGAUACUGCAGAGAGUUGGCUUCGAGAACUAGCCAAGCAAAUCCAAAAGGUAUGCCUCUCUUAACUGAGGAGAUUCAGAUGCAGGGAGUGUUUUCAGGCUGUUGUCAAAGAACUGUGGAAAAGUUUGCCUGACCUUCACAAAGCCUGAGGGACAAAAGAAGAAACUGCUUAGGGAUUUUUUUGUUUUUCUAUUUUAAUUGGUCCCCAAUCAGGUUCAUGUCCAGUUUUCUUAAUAGACAGUGAUGGCUGUUAUGCUCAAUUUUUGAUAAUUCUUCUGGCUUAGAAUUCCACUUCUGUUCCAACUACUGGGACCAGAGGUGGUAUGCUAGGAAGGCUUCCUAGUUGCAGAAAGGGAUUAUCUCUGGUUUGAGCAGAAAUGGAAUUUGGUAAAAGGGCAUCAGAGAGCCCACAGAGGCUGGAGAAUGUAGAAAUGGUUCAAUAGCAAAAGGAGAGCAGGGGUCAGAGCCCCAGUACAAGCUCAGGGAGAGGCUGGCCAGAGCCCCUGUAUGACACUGCUAUGGCCAGGGGAAGCCAAAUGCUGGUUUCAGGCUGCUGCUGACACCACCCUCAGGGAGACGUCUUCGAGGUCCCCAACUUCUUGCAUUGCUUACUCCAGAGCAAAAUUCUAGGGGGGAAUCAUCUAAUGGGCUCCAAGCUAUAGCUGCCUGGCCUGUGGGAAAACACCUGUCUACAUUUGGGGCUUCCAUGGUGAGAUGACGUCUUACCAACUACCCCGGGUCACAUGAUGGCAGAUUCCUCAACCAUAGGAGGUACAGUCAGAUGGUAAACAGCCAAAAAAAAAAAAAAAAAAAAAAAAAAG
rnacentral:lncRNA from 1 species